rnacentral:miRNA from 1 species
GCAGACACAUUCCAGCCAAUCAGCAGCAGACCCUCCCUCCGAGACCCUCCCACCACCUGGACAGCAUUCAUUGUGAAGCUGCAUUCUUAGUGAGCUGUCCAGGAGGUGGGAGGGUCUCGGAGGGAGGGUCUGCUGCUGAUUGGCUGGAAUGUGUAUG